CCUACGGGUGGCAGCAGUGAGGAAUAUUGGUCAAUGGGCGAGAGCCUGAACCAGCCAAGUCGCGUGAAGGAUGAAUGCUCUAUGGGUUGUAAACUUCUUUUAUAUGGGAAUAAAGUGAGGAAUGUGUACCGCUUUGUAUGUACCUUAUGAAUAAGGAUCGGCUAACUCCGUGCCAGCAGCCGCGGUAAUACGGAGGAUGCGAGCGUUAUCCGGAUUUAUUGGGUUUAAAGGGUGCGUAGGUGGUUAAUUAAGUCAGCGGUGAAAGUUUGUGGCUCAACCAUAAAAUUGCCGUUGAAACUGGUAGACUUGAGUAUAUUAGAGGUAGGCGGAAUGCGUGGUGUAGCGGUGAAAUGCAUAGAUAUCACGCAGAACUCCGAUUGCGAAGGCAGCUUACUAAACUAUAACUGACGCUGAAGCACGAAAGCGUGGGGAUCAAACAGGAUUAGAUACCCUAGUAGUC
rnacentral:rRNA from 1 species